CUGUGUGUUUGCGUGUUCGUUACAUGUUUAUUUGCUUUGGUUUUUCUUCAUUUCUGGAAAUUCCACAGCCCCCAAACUACAGCCGAGGCACCUGGUGAUAACCGACAACGGAAAAAGCUUAGACGAAUUUCCAAU